rnacentral:rRNA from 1 species
UUUGGAAUCUUCUGAUUAGUUUUUACAAAUAAAUAAAAACUUUCAACAACGGAUCUCUUGGUUCUGGCAUCGAUGAAGAACGCAGCGAAAUGCGAUAAGUAAUGUGAAUUGCAGAAUUCAGUGAAUCAUCGAAUCUUUGAACGCACAUUGCGCCCGCCAGUAUUCUGGCGGGCAUGCCUGUCUGAGCGUCAUUUCAACCCUCAUGCCCCUAGGGCGUGGUGUUGGGGAUCGGCCAAAGCCCGCGAGGGACGGCCGGCCCCUAAAUCUAGUGGCGGACCCGUCGUGGCCUCCUCUGCGAAGUAGUAAUAUUCCGCAUCGGACAGCGACGAGCCCCUGCCGUUAAACCCCCAACUUUCUAAGGUUGACCUCAGAUCAGGUAGGAAUACCCGCUGAACUUAAGCAUAUCAAUAAGGCGGAGGAA